rnacentral:rRNA from 1 species
CACAUUCAAGUUCGAGGGGUAAACAGGGGCUUCGGGCCCGCUGACGACCCGGCGCACGGGUGAGUAACGCGUAUGCAACCUGCCUGUAACAGCGGGAUUGCUUCCCUGAAAGGGGAAAUUAACACCGCAUAAGACCACGCUCUCGCAUGGGGACGGGGUAAAAUAUUUAUAGGUUACAGAUGGGCAUGCGUGACAUUAGUUAGUUGGUGAGGUAACGGCUCACCAAGACUGCGAUGUCUAGGGGUUCUGAGAGGAAGGUCCCCCACACUGGAACUGAGACACGGUCCAGACUCCUACGGGAGGCAGCAGUGAGGAAUAUUGGUCAAUGGACGCAAGUCUGAACCAGCCAUGUCGCGUGCAGGAUGACUGCCCUAUGGGUUGUAAACUGCUUUUAUAUUGGAAGAAUUGCGCUUACGAGUUAAGCGUUUGACGGUACAUUAUGAAUAAGGAUCGGCUAACUCCGUGCCAGCAGCCGCGGUAAUACGGAGGAUCCGAGCGUUAUCCGGAUUUAUUGGGUUUAAAGGGUGCGUAGGCGGAAAUGUAAGUCAGUGGUGAAAUCCUGCAGCUUAACUGUAGAAUAGCCGUUGAAACUGUGUUUCUUGAGUACAUUUGAGGUAGGCGGAAUGUGGUGUGUAGCGGUGAAAUGCAUAGAUACACCACAGAACACCGAUUGCGAAGGCAGCUUACUAAACUGUCACUGACGCUGAUGCACGAAAGCGUGGGUAUCAAACAGGAUUAGAUACCCUGGUAGUCCACGCUGUAAACGAUGAUUACUGGUUGUUUGCGAUACACUGCAAGUGACUGAGCGAAAGCAUUAA